rnacentral:rRNA from 1 species
GAUCAUGGCUCAGAACGAACGCUGGUGGCGUGUCUUAUACAUGCAAGUCGAGCGGUGCAGCAAUGCAUAGCGGCGAACGGGUGAGUAACGCGUAAGCAAUCUGCCCCCUGUUCGGGAAUAGCCGUGCCAACGCGCGGGUAAUACCGGAUAUCGUGGCCCUGGACAUCCGGGGUUGACAAAAGAUUUAUCGACAGGGGAUGAGCUUGCGUCCGAUUAGCUAGUUGGCGGGCAACGGCCCACCAAGGCGACGAUCGGUAGCCGGCCUGAGAGGGUGAUCGGCCACAUUGGGACUGAGAUACGGCCCAGACUCCUACGGGAGGCAGCAGUAGGGAAUAUUGCACAAUGGGGGAAACCCUGAUGCAGCAACGCCACGUGUGGGAAGAAGCAUUUCGGUGUGUAAACCACUGUCGUGAGGGAAUAAGGCUGAGUUCCGGCUCAGUUGAAUGUACCUCGAGAGGAAGCACCGGCAAACUUCGUGCCAGCCGCGGC